AAACGCUUGAAGUCAGUCGCGUUGAUUAGGGAUCAACCUUGCUUUUGCUUCGUUCAUUUUCUGAUUAACGGGUCAGCAUCAAUUUUGAUCAGUGGAAAAAGGUUAGAGGAAUGUGGCAUCUUAGGAUGUGUUAUAGCCUCUGACCAUAUACAUUGGUUGGGAUUGAGGAACUCAGCACGCCGCAAGGCCGGGUUUUUACCACGUUCGUGCUUAGGAUGCUGGCAUAAUGGCUUUAAUCGA
rnacentral:rRNA from 1 species